GAGUUUGAUCCUGGCUCAGAUCGAACGCUGGCGGCAGGCCUAACACAUGCAAGUCGAGCGGAAACGAGUUAACUGAACCUUCGGGGAACGUUAACGGCGUCGAGCGGCGGACGGGUGAGUAAUGCCUGGGAAAUUGCCCUGAUGUGGGGGAUAACCAUUGGAAACGAUGGCUAAUACCGCAUAAUAGCUUCGGCUCAAAGAGGGGGACCUUCGGGCCUCUCGCGUCAGGAUAUGCCCAGGUGGGAUUAGCUAGUUGGUGAGGUAAUGGCCCACCAAGGCGACGAUCCCUAGCUGGUCUGAGAGGAUGAUCAGCCACACUGGAACUGAGACACGGUCCAGACUCCUACGGGAGGCAGCAGUGGGGAAUAUUGCACAAUGGGCGCAAGCCUGAUGCAGCCAUGCCGCGUGUAUGAAGAAGGCCUUCGGGUUGUAAAGUACUUUCAGCAGUGAGGAAGGUGGGUAUGUUAAUAGCAUACUCAUUUGACGUUAGCUGCAGAAGAAGCACCGGCUAACUCCGUGCCAGCAGCCGCGGUAAUACGGAGGGUGCGAGCGUUAAUCGGAAUUACUGGGCGUAAAGCGCAUGCAGGUGGUUUGUUAAGUCAGAUGUGAAAGCCCGGGGCUCAACCUCGGAAUUGCAUUUGAAACUGGCGAACUAGAGUACUGUAGAGGGGGGUAGAAUUUCAGGUGUAGCGGUGAAAUGCGUAGAGAUCUGAAGGAAUACCGGUGGCGAAGGCGGCCCCCUGGACAGAUACUGACACUCAGAUGCGAAAGCGUGGGGAGCAAACAGGAUUAGAUACCCUGGUAGUCCACGCCGUAAACGAUGUCUACUUGGAGGUUGUGGCCUUGAGCCGUGGCUUUCGGAGCUAACGCGUUAAGUAGACCGCCUGGGGGAGUACGGGUCGCAAGAUUAAAAACUCAAAUGAAUUUGACGGGGGGCCCGCAACAAGCGGGGGGAGGCAUGGUGGUUUAAUUCGGAUGCAACCGCGAAAAAACCUUACCUAACUUUUUGACA
rnacentral:rRNA from 1 species